AACGCACCUUGCGCCCUCUGGCAUUCCAGAGGGCAUGCCUGUUUGAGUGUCAUGUUAACGUCACCGCCGUGUCUGUUUUUUGGACGUGGAGGGUGGAUUUGGAUGCUGCCGUCGUUGGCUCGUCCUCAAAUGCAUUAGCCGUGCAAGCUCGGCCGUCCGGUGUGAUAGUUUAUUUACGCUGUCGGCCUCGUCGCGUGCGGCUUCCAGCGACCCAACUCUUAAGCUUUGACCUCAAAUCAGGUAGGGUUACCCGCUGAACUUAA
rnacentral:misc_RNA from 1 species